GACGAACGCUGGCGGCGUGCUUAACACAUGCAAGUCGAACGGAAAGGCCCGGUUCUUGUGGGGUGCUCGAGUGGCGAACGGGUGAGUAACACGUGAGUAACCUGCCCUUGACUUUGGGAUAACUUCAGGAAACUGGGGCUAAUAUCGGAUAUGAGCUCCUUCUGCAUGGUGGGGGUGGGAAAGUUGCGGCGGUUGGGCAUGGACUCGCGGCUUAUCAGCGUGUUGGUGAGGUAGUGGAGUACAAAGGCUUUGACGGGUAGCCGGCCUGAGAGGGUGACCGGCCACAUUGGGACUGAGAUGGGGGCCAUACUCAUACGGGAGGAAGCAGUGGGAGAUAUUGCACACUGGGCGGAAGCAUGAUGCAGCAACGCCGCGUGCGGGAUGACGGCCUUCGGGUUGUAACCCGCUUUCGCCUGUGACGAAGCGUGAGUGACGGUAAUGGGUAAAGAAGCACCGGCUAACUACGUG
rnacentral:rRNA from 1 species